CAAGCCCAGUCUGUCGAAAAAGAAGAUGUGAAAAUUGCCAUCGCGUUUGUUUUUAUCUUUUUUUGUAGAAGAUAUUAAGCCAUAAGUAAUACUGUAUUCGAUAAACAAUGGACACAUAACUUAAUCCAGUACACAAAAAGCAUUUAUGAUUCCGUUUUAGCGAAGCAAGGCCUCAGGUUUUUUCUUUUACAGGUUGUUUAUCUAUCUGGUCUUUACUUAAGGAGAGUGAAGAUAACUAGCCUGCCGUUCUCCACCCAAACUGAGCCCAAGCCUAUAUUGACUGGGGUCCUGAUUGUGACAAAGGAGUUCCCUGGGCACCGCAGGAGAAAUGGCAUCAGUGAAAGACAGUAGUCAAACACUCCGGCUGAAUAUCAUCACGAAAGAUAAAGAAGAGGAAGUGAAGAUUUGGGAAUGUGAUGAUUACCCAGGAGAGAGUCCAGACAUGGCAUCAGUAGAGCUGGUAGGCAGCAGUCAAACACUGGGGCUGAAUGUCACCAUUAAUGAUGAACAGAAGGAAGACAUUGGGGAAUCUGCUGAUCAUGGAGAGACCUCUAACUCCUCUGACCAAGUCGAGACAUUUCCUGCAUCAGGGAAGAAACAUCAGGAAGGGAGCAAAGCUAAGGGGUCUCGCCACUGCCCACACUGUGAGGAGAGCUUCCCAUUCCCAUCAUAUCUUGAAAGACACCUUCGAAAACAUUCUGGAGAGAAGCCUUAUUCCUGCUCUGUCUGUGGGAGGAGUUUCUCUCAACUGAGUGGCUUGAACGUGCACCAGCGAACACACACUGGAGAGAAGCCUCACCGCUGUCCUCACUGUGAGGAGAGUUUCCCAUUCCCAUCAUAUCUUGAAAGACACCUGCGAAAACAUUCUGGAGAGAAGCCUUAUUCCUGCUCUGUCUGUGGGAUGAGUUUCUCUCAACUGAGUGGUUUGAACGUGCACCAGCGAACACACACUGGAGAGAAGCCUCACCACUGUCCUCACUGUGAGAAGAGUUUCCCAUUCCCAUCAUAUCUUGAAAGACACCUGCGAAAACAUUCUGGAGAGAAGCCUUACUGCUGCUCUGACUGUGGGAAAUGCUUCACAACAUCAAGUCAUCUAACCUCUCAUCGUCGAGUUCACACAGGGGAGAAGCCUUACUCCUGCUCUGACUGCGGGAAGAGUUUCCCAUUCCCAUCAUAUCUUGAACGACACCUGCGGAAACAUGCUAACCAUUGUGUUAUAUGAAGGUCAUGUGGUGGCAACCAGCACUGAACAAUACAUUUUUGGCCAGCAGUCAACCCAGCCGGCCAGCAGUCAUCCCAGCCGGCCAGCAGUCAACCCAGCCGGCCAGCAGUCAUCCCAGCCGGCCAGCAGUCAACCCAGCCGGCCAGCAGCCAACCCAAGCCGGCCAGCAGCCAUCCCAGCCGGCCAGCAGCCAUCCCAGCCGGCCAGCAGCCAUCCCAGCCGGCCAGCAGCCAUCCCAGCCGGCCAGCAGCCAUCCCUGCCGGCCAGCAGUCAACCCAGCCGGCCAGCAGUCAACACAGCCGGCCAGCAGUCAUCCCAGCCGGCCAGCAGUCAUCCCAGCCGGCCAGCAGUCAUCCCAGCCGGCCAAACCAUACACUGUUUCUUGUUCACUGGAAUCGUCAUUAAGUAGAAGAGGAAUCGGUUAGAUUAUCCUUUCCUCCAAAACGUAUCAAUCCCAUAUCAUCUGUUUUGUAUGUGUCAAGUCUAUUGAGGGGGGCACAGGUUACAGUUUGUAUGUGUCAAGUCUAUUGAGGUGGGCACAGGUUACAGUUUGUAUGUGCCAAGUCUAUUGAGGUGGACACAGGUUACAGUUUGUAUGUGCCAAGUCUAUUGAGGGGGGCACAGGUUACAGUUUGUAUGUGUCAAGUCUAUUGAGGGGGGCACAGGUUACAGUUUGUAUGUGUCAAGUCUAUUGAGGGGGGCACUGGUUACAGUUUAGGCUUAAAGCCUGUUUUGUAUGUGUCAAGUAUAUUGAGGGAUGCACAGGUUACAGUUUAGGCUUAAAGCCUGUUUUGUAUGUGUCAAGUCUAUUGAGGUGGACACAGGUUACAGUUUGUAUGUGUCAAGUCUAUUGAGGGGGGCACUGGUUACAGUUUAGGCUUAAAGCCUGUUUUGUAUGUGUCAAGUAUAUUGAGGGAUGCACAGGUUACAGUUUAGGCUUAAAGCCUGUUUUGUAUGUGUCAAGUCUAUUGAGGGGGGCACAGGUUACAGUUUGUAUGUGUCAAGUCUAUUGAGGGGGGCACAGGUUACAGUUUAGGCUUAAAGCCUGUUUUGUAUGACAUAUUAUAAGUGGUGUCCAGUACAACCUAUGACAAAGCUUAUAAUUAGUUUUAUUGAUAGUUUGGCUUCUUUGACGAGUGAAAUUAUAUUCUCCCAGACAUUCUCCCAGUCAAUAGCCUCAUCAUCAGACAUAUACUUUACCCAUGAUUUAACCAUUUGGAAGAUAUUUUUUUGCUUUAGUAAUUGAAGAUGAAAAUAAAUAGCAGACACCAAACCUCUGGACAAGUUCCCAAAUUUGUACCUAAUGGGACACCGUAGGCACAAAGUGCAGACUGGAGACAAAGGUAAAAGAGACAAAGAUCCUGGAAACUAGGGAGACCCUCUUGAGUUAAAUACAUCUCCUAGAUUUUUGAUCCCUUUUGCAGUCCAGGCUUUUGGCUCAAAUGGUUUAUUACCUGAAAGUAAUAGCCUUGUUAUGCCGUAGAGGGGUAUAGAGAUGCCACUUCCUGUUACCACCUACAUCAUCUCUCAUGGACAGAUCUAUGUAAACGUAACUGGUACCAUAGAAUCUGUCUGGAAGGAACGGGACGUGUGUGAUAACGAACGGCAGUAGGUCUGGUGUUUUGGAGUUUUCGUCACCGGUUAUUUGGACAAAUCACGAUGUCGCAGAUGUUUUAGCGUCUUCCGAAUUUCGAAAGGCGAGUGGACAUUCGAUUCGUCACUAGUAAAGAGAGAGGGUGAAGCUCCUCAUUUUCUAGAAUCUCUUAAUCCAUUUCUCUUAACACAUAUGGACCUAGAAUUGUAAUCGUGCAGCUGACCAAUUACGCAACACUUUAGUUCUGGAUUAACGAAUUUGACCAUUUAAACACUUCUAAACAUUCCUCAAAUUAUUUACUGCAUUAGAGAUAAUAGAACAGUAAUAUACUAUAACAUGUAUUCCACAUUAUACUAGAAAAAGAACACAUCUUUCUAUCUAGUAAAAGGGGAAACUAGUUCCUUUUCAAUAAUUACCAAGAGACUGGUGUAGACUGAUGAACCAUGAUAUAAGUGAUCGGCCAUUAAGACGUCCGCAUGCAUCCCAGCCUAAACAGGUCCUUGUAGUACCACAAACCGGACCUUUGCCAUUCCAUAAAGGUAUUGAUGUACAUGUUUAUUGAGUAAGUUUACAUUCCUGCUGACUGUCCGUCACGAAAGAGGAUUUUAAGAUUUUGGGAAUACGAUGAUUAACCAGGUAAGCGAGCAGGUUUUAUUACCAGCGAUAUGCGAUCUGAUCACUGAUAAUAAAGGCUUUACCCUGAAUUCAGAUCUCGUCCCUGCUGGAUAAAUCUCAACAGAAGAUCUUAAGAAGGGUUGUUUCCUUCUGAAGUAACAACAAUCCAGCCGCAUGGUGGCAAAUAUCUGUUUGUUUUUAUUGGCCC